rnacentral:rRNA from 1 species
CGAGCACGCGCGUGUGGCAUAUCAAUAAGCGGAGGAAAAGAAACUAACAAGGAUUCCCUUAGUAACGGCGAGUGAAGCGGGAAGAGCUCAAAUUUGAAAUCUUCAAGGUUCUACCUUGACGAAUUGUAGUUUAUAGAAGUGUUUUCUGUUAGUGGAGUGGCAAAAGUUCUUUGGAAUAGGACAUCAUAGAGGGUGAGAAUCCCGUAUUUGGUCAUUCCUCCUAGCGUUGUGAUACACUUUCAACGAGUCGGAUUGUUUGGGAAUGCAGUCCAAAAUGGGUGGUAAAUUUCAUCUAAAGCUAAAUAUGGCGAGAGACCGAUAGCGAACAAGUACCGUGAGGGAAAGAUGAAAAGAACUUUGAAAAGAGAGUUAAACAGUACGUGAAAUUGUCAAAAGGGAAGCGUUUGACACCAGUGUUGUUUUCUCGAAAAUCAAUUAAAAAUGAUGGGAUUUUGUGUUGUAUUGACUUUAUCAGCUUUCUGCACUUUUUUCUUGAUCUUUUUUAAGUGCACUUUUCGUUUAACAAGUCAACAUCAAUUUCUUUUGUUGUAAAAGAGUCAUUGGAAGGUGGCUUUUCAUUUCGGUGAAAAGUGUUUAUAGCCUUUGACUUCUGCAAUCGGAGAGAUUGAGGUCUGCAGCGUAGAUCCUUCGGGGUUAGAUACAUUUGUAGCUAAGCUAUAGUUCUUUCAUAGACAACAUUGUUGACUAUGAUCAAUCCUGUAGCUUACUCGCUUAUGCUAUUUUACCUACGCUUAGGAUGUUGAACUCUAUCACACACAG